UACGUAGGGUGCAAGCGUUGUCCGGAAUUAUUGGGCGUAAAGAGCUCGUAGGCGGUGUGUCGCGUCGGCCGUGAAAACCUGCAGCUUAACUGUGGGCGUGCGGUCGAUACGGGCAUCACUGGAGUUCGGCAGGGGAGACUGGAAUUCCUGGUGUAGCGGUGAAAUGCGCAGAUAUCAGGGGGAACACCGGUGGCGAAGGCGGGUCUCUGGGCCGAUACUGACGCUGAGGAGCGAAAGCGUGGGGAGCGAACAGG
rnacentral:rRNA from 1 species